rnacentral:sRNA from 1 species
ACUCAACACUAUUUUUUUUAAAAAAGGUGAGUCUGUAUCCUAGAGCGCGCCCUAACGGGAUUAUCGAAUAUGCAGUUAGCCUUAAACUUGUAUAACUGGAGUUU